CACCCCCUCAGUGAGCUCUCGACAUCAGCCCAGGUACAACAGCACCGGGCAGGAGUUCCUGGGCUCUCCUGACAAAGUGGGCAGCCCAAGCCACCCCUGGUCAUCCCCUGGCUGGGCUGGGCCCCAUGAAAGGACAAGAGACACCCAAGACACCCAGAGGCACCAAGAGUGUCCCGAGGCCCCAUCCCUGCAACAGUGUGCCAGAAAACCCUGGGAACCCGGCAGGUGUCUUCUGUCAUCUGCCAUUUAACAAGCUGACUUCAGAUACGACCUAAAAUUAAGAAUAUCCAGAUCAUUUCCCUUUGCCAUCCUCCACUUCUGUUUUGGGAAUAUCUAUCUAAUCAAAAGUGUCUGACACAUCUGCUCCUGCCUCUCUCGAUGUACAGUGUGAUAGAUGGAACAUAACUGGAGAAAAAAAGAAAGUUUCAGUUCUCCCAGCAAGUGGAAAGGUGACCUGCAAACAUUUGAACAAAAAAAGGGAAGAAAGUUUAUUUUUAUGCACUGAAUAUUCUGCACAGCAAGAGACACAGCACAUUUAGAGACUGCACAGGAGACACUUUAAACACCACCUACUCCAUAGUCCACCCCAUUAAAUUCUGUGCACAGUUUUUCUCUUGA